rnacentral:snoRNA from 1 species
UGGUUUGUUGUGAUGAAACAGAUACGGAUGUAAAUCAUAUUCUGUCCGAGAGCGCUUAAUCCCGUGUGGAUAUCUCCGUUGCCUUCCUUCUGAUAUUAACU